rnacentral:tRNA from 1 species
GCGUCCGAGCGCGGUAGUUGCGCCGAACCAGCCAACUACGAAUCUGGGGGUCAGGAGUUCGAAUCUCUUCGGGCGCGCCA